UCGGUUUUAAUUUAAAUUUUAUUUCCCGCCACUUAAAGUUCAAAUCUCAACGGUCGCCAUCGAGGAUAGUGAGGAGGACAGCGCGUUUCACCACAGGACGGAGAAGACGAUAAUUAGCGAUUAUUUCUGCAAAAAGUUGUCCAUUCUUAUGCCGAAUACAAUCCUGAACGAAAUUCUAACGCGUUUUAAGUAGUUUGGCGUCGAAUUCAACGUUUGGGAGAAUAUGAAGGAUAUCUGAAGAUUGUGCACCGCUCCGUCUUGUUGAGGAAGCGGCUCGUUGGGACGUCGAGGGGUCUGUUAAAAUUCCUGUGUGUAAUUGAGCGAUACAACAUAAGAGAUUCAUCUGGAGACCAUGGUAUAAGCACGCAAUACAACAUGAAGAUGAAGGUAAGAUAUGAGUUAAACAGUGUUUUGUUGUUACUGCUGCGCUACAAAACCAGUUUUUCCUCAUGUUUUUAACUUCAAAAGACACACAGUGAGUCGGGCGUAGCAGGAAAUAGAUACAACAAUAUGUGUGCCCUCACUCCUCGUUAGUAUAGUGAGGAAGCGGCUCGUUGUGACGUCGAGGGGUCUGUUAAAAAGGAAGCGGCUCGUUGUGACGUCGAGGGGUCUGUUAAAAUCCCUGUGUGUAAUUGAGCGAUACAACAUAAGAGAUUCAUCUGGAGACCAUGGUAUAAGCAUGCAAUACAACAUGAAGAUGAAGGUAAGAUAUGAGUUAAACAGUGUUUUGUUGUUACUGCAGCGCUACAAAACCAGUCUUUCCUCUUGUUUUUAACUUCAAAAGACACGCAGUGAGUCGGGCGUAGCACGAAAUAGAUACAACAAUAUGUAUGCCCUCACUCCUCGUUAGUAUAGUGAUUUAACAACAUCAAUGAUUUGAAAAUCUCCAGCAAAAUCAAAAUUUUUGCCCCGUGUGAGGCUCGAACUCACGACCUUCAGAUUAUGAGACUGACGCGCUGCCUACUGCGCCAACGAGGCCUGAAGUCCAUGUGUGCAAGACCUCCUCAUGUUCCUGCUGGGGCGCAUCUGUCCCACCAAACUGGUUUGCAUUUGCAGUCAGAUCUGCCCUUGAUUUUUUAAUAUCUGUUCUGUUCUUGAUAUGUUUGUAUUAACACCUGUUACAAUCACAAUAGACAAGUUUGUACAAAAAUGACUGAGAAACAAUAGAUCAGUAUAAACAAUGAGAUUCAACCUCGCUCAACAGAGGGAGCCAAAGCGAACAAUCACUUCAAACAUUGUAGAUUUAGGCCCAUGUUAAAAUGCCUAAAUUACAUUUAAAACCAUUAAUUUCACAUGCAUAUA